rnacentral:lncRNA from 1 species
AUUAGACAAAAUCACAUUGUCUUCACUUGAGGAGCCAAAGUCAACAACAAUGGUUUGAUGGAUUCAAAGUCAGAUACGUGAAACCUGGCACGACAAGAUGAUGAUGUCGUAGAGGUUUUGGUUGAUUGUGUUGGAGAAGUUGCAUGGAUGGAAGCGACAUACUGCUCAAACAAAGAUGUAGAACUAGAGGAAUCAGAUUUGUGAAGCUCACGAAUUUUUCAAAGACGUCUUAGAAGGUUUCUAGUUGAAAUCAUUUUGAACCUUGGGGUUUGCACGGUGAAGUAGAGGAUCGUUAGGGUUUCAACAUUUGAGGAGGAGUGAAAUGAUAGUACUUGCUUCGUGUAGAUACCAUGGUUGAAGAAGG